rnacentral:rRNA from 1 species
GGCGGCAGGCCUAACACAUGCAAGUCGAACGGUAACAGGAAGCAGCUUGCUGCUUCGCUGACGAGUGGCGGACGGGUGAGUAAUGUCUGGGAAACUGCCUGAUGGAGGGGGAUAACUACUGGAAACGGUGGCUAAUACCGCAUAACGUCGCAAGACCAAAGAGGGGGACCUUCGGGCCUCUUGCCAUCAGAUGUGCCCAGAUGGGAUUAGCUAGUUGGUGAGGUAACGGCUCACCAAGGCGACGAUCCCUAGCUGGUCUGAGAGGAUGACCAGCCACACUGGAACUGAGACACGGUCCAGACUCCUACGGGAGGCAGCAGUGGGGAAUAUUGCACAAUGGGCGCAAGCCUGAUGCAGCCAUGCCGCGUGUAUGAAGAAGGCCUUCGGGUUGUAAAGUACUUUCAGCGGGGAGGAAGGUGUUGUGGUUAAUAACCGCAGCAAUUGACGUUACCCGCAGAAGAAGCACCGGCUAACUCCGUGCCAGCAGCCGCGGUAAUACGGAGGGUGCAAGCGUUAAUCGGAAUUACUGGGCGUAAAGCGCACGCAGGCGGUCUGUCAAGUCGGAUGUGAAAUCCCCGGGCUCAACCUGGGAACUGCAUUCGAAACUGGCAGGCUUGAGUCUUGUAGAGGGGGGUAGAAUUCCAGGUGUAGCGGUGAAAUGCGUAGAGAUCUGGAGGAAUACCGGUGGCGAAGGCGGCCCCCUGGACAAAGACUGACGCUCAGGUGCGAAAGCGUGGGGAGCAAACAGGAUUAGAUACCCUGGUAGUCCACGCCGUAAACGAUGUCUACUUGGAGGUUGUGCCCUUGAGGCGUGGCUUCCGGAGCUAACGCGUUAAGUAGACCGCCUGGGGAGUACGGCCGCAAGGUUAAAACUCAAAUGAAUUGACGGGGGCCCGCACAAGCGGUGGAGCAUGUGGUUUAAUUCGAUGCAACGCGAAGAACCUUACCUGGUCUUGACAUCCACAGAACUUUCCAGAGAUGGAUUGGUGCCUUCGGGAACUGUGAGACAGGUGCUGCAUGGCUGUCGUCAGCUCGUGUUGUGAAAUGUUGGGUUAAGUCCCGCAACGAGCGCAACCCUUAUCCUUUGUUGCCAGCGGUUAGGCCGGGAACUCAAAGGAGACUGCCAGUGAUAAACUGGAGGAAGGUG